rnacentral:rRNA from 1 species
GGGGACAGCCGUACCACCAUGAACGUGCCCAAUCUCUGAAGCUAAGCGGGUCAGGCCUGGUUAGUACUAAGAUGGGAUUUUGCCUGGGAAUACUGGGUGCUGUAGGCU